rnacentral:rRNA from 1 species
AUGAAGUCUUUCGAUGAGAAAAAAAAUAAGAAGCAACCUUUCAGGACGAGACUCCGCCGCCACGAGGCGGAACCUUGGUGGAACCAAUCUAGGGCUCCGGUAGAGCUGUUCUGCCGGGGACACUUCCCUCCGGGAGGGGGAAUCAUCACCAUCGUCAUCACCAACGCUCCUCUCAUCGGGAGAGGGCAAUCUCCAUCAACAUCUUCACCAGCACCAUCUCAUCUCCAAACCCUAGUUCAUCUCUUGUAUCCAAUUCUUGUCUCCAAGUCUGGGAUUGGUGCUAGUAGGUUGCUAGUAGUGUUGAUUACUCCUUGUAGUUGA